rnacentral:tRNA from 1 species
CGCUGUAUAAGCUCAGUGGUUAGAGCUUAGAUCUUGUGACCGGAAGGUUCCUGGAUCGAAUCCCGCCAGAGCCA